rnacentral:rRNA from 1 species
GGACAUAACAUAAAAGUGGAGGCUAUUGUAACUGAAGAGAACUGGAAAGUUCCACCGUAGAAGGUAAUAGUCCUGUAAGUGAAACGAGAAGACCACGAGUUAUGAUCCAGAGUACCACGAGACACGUGAAACCUUGUGGGAAGCAGGGAGGACCACCUCCCAAGGCUAAAUACUACCUGAUGACCGAUAGUGAAGCAGUACCGUGAGGGAAAGGUGAAAAGAACCCCGGGAGGGGAGUGAAAUAGAACCUGAAACCGUGUGCCUACAACCGCUCAGAGCCCCUUAUGAGGGUGAUGAGGUGCUUUUUGUAGAACGAGCCAACGAGUUACGGUAUGUAGCAAGGUUAAGUACUUAAGGUACGGAGCCGAAGGGAAACCGAGUCUGAAUAGGGCGACUAGUUGCAUGCCGUAGACCCGAAACCGGGUGACCUAUCCAUGGCCAGGUUGAAGCGAGGGUAAAACCUCGUGGAGGACCGAACCACGUUGCUGUUGAAAAAGCAUGGGAUGAGCUGUGGAUAGCGGAGAAAUUCCAAUCGAACCCGGAGAUAGCUGGUUCUCUCCGAAAUAGCUUUAGGGCUAGCGUCGAGUAUGAGUAGUGGAGGUAGAGCACUGAAUGGGCUAGGGGGCAUAGCGCUUACCGAACCUUAUCAAACUCCGAAUGCCACAUACUUUGAGCUCGGCAGUCAGACUACGAAUGAUAAGAUCCGUGGUCAAAAGGGAAACAGCCCAGAUCGUCAGCUAAGGUCCCAAAGUGUAAGUUAAGUGGGAAAGGAUGUGAGAUUUCUAAGACAACUAGGAUGUUGGCUUAGAAGCAGCCAUUCAUUAAAAGAGUGCGUAAUAGCUCACUAGUCGAGAGAUCUUGCGCCGAAAAUGUAACGGGGCUAAACUUACCACCGAAGCUACGGGCUUGAACUUAGUUCAAGCGGUAGGAGAGCGUCGUAACCGGGCUGAAGUCGUACCGUAAGGAGCGGUGGACUGGUUACGAGUGAGAAUGUUGGCAUCAGUAGCGAGAUGUGGGUGAGAAUCCCACAGGCCGAAAACCUAAGGUUUCCUCAGGAAGGUUCGUCCGCUGAGGGUUAGUCGGGACCUAAGCCGAGGCCGAAAGGCGUAGGUGAUGGACAACUGGUUGAUAUUCCAGUACCACUACCAUCGUUAUUAUCGAUGGCGUGACGCAGGAGGAUAGUGUGUGCUAGCUAUUGGAUGCUAGUCUAAGCGUUUAGGCAGUGAGAGUAGGCAAAUCCGCUCUCAUAAUGCUGAGGCGUGAUGGGGAAGGUUCUACGGAACCGAAGUACAUGAUUCCACGCUGCCAAGAAAAGCGUCUAGAGAGAGAAGUAGUGCCCGUACCGCAAACCGACACAGGUAGGUGAGGAGAGAAUCCUAAGGCCGGCGGAAGAAUUACAGUUAAGGAACUCGGCAAAUUGACCCCGUAAGUUCGCGAGAAGGGGUGCCUACGAGAGUAGGCCGCAGAGAAUAGGCCCAAGCAACUGUUUAGCAAAAACACAGGUCUCUGCUAAAGCGUAAGCUGAUGUAUAGGGGCUGACGCCUGCCCGGUGCUGGAAGGUUAAGGGGAACACUUAGCGCAAGCGAAGGUGUGAACUUAAGCCCCAGUAAACGGCGGCCGUAACUAUAACGGUCCUAAGGUAGCGAAAUUCCUUGUCAGGUAAGUUCUGACCCGCACGAAUGGCGUAAUGACUUGGGCACUGUCUCAACUGUAAAUCCGGCGAAGUUGUAGUGCGAGUGAAGAUGCUCGCUACCCGCGAUUGGACGGAAAGACCCCGUAGAGCUUUACUGUAGCUUAGCAUUGAGUUUUGGUAUUGUCUGUACAGGAUAGGUGGGAGACUAGGAAACCAGGGCGUCAGCCUUGGUGGAGUCAACCUUGGGAUACCACCCUGACAGUACUGAAAUUCUAACUGGCGGCCAUGAAUCUGGUCACAGGACAUUGUUAGGUGGGCAGUUUGACUGGGGCGGUCGCCUCCUAAAAAGUAACGGAGGCGCCCAAAGGUUCCCUCAGAACGGUCGGAAAUCGUUCGAAGAGUGCAAAGGCAGAAGGGAGCCUGACUGCGACACCCACAAGUGGAGCAGGGACGAAAGUCGGGCUUAGUGAUCCGGUGGUACCUCGUGGGAGGGCCAUCGCUCAACGGAUAAAAGCUACCUCGGGGAUAACAGGCUGAUCUCCCCCAAGAGUCCACAUCGACGGGGAGGUUUGGCACCUCGAUGUCGGCUCGUCGCAUCCUGGGGCUGAAGUAGGUCCCAAGGGUUGGGCUGUUCGCCCAUUAAAGCGGCACGCGAGCUGGGUUCAGAACGUCGUGAGACAGUUCGGUCCCUAUCCGUCGCGGGCGUAGGAAAUUUGAGAGGAGCUGUCCUUAGUACGAGAGGACCGGGAUGGACUGACCUCUGGUGUACCAGUUGUUCCGCCAGGAGCACAGCUGGGUAGCUAAGUCGGGAAUGGAUAAACGCUGAAAGCAUCUAAGCGUGAAGCCAACCUCAAGAUGAGAUUUCCCAUAGCGUAAGCUAGUAAGAUCCCUUGAAGAACACAAGGUUGAUAGGUCGGGGGUGUAAGCAUGGUAACAUGUUCAGCUGACCGAUACUAAUAGAUCGAGGGCUUGACCAAAU